rnacentral:ncRNA from 2 species
CAAGACCUUCGGGGCAGGGUGCGGCGCGCAGCGCCAAUUCCCGACCGGCGGUGAUAGCCCGCGAGCGGCGCAAGCCGCAGGAUCCGGUGGAAUUCCGGAGCCGACGGUAUAGUCCGGAUGGGAGAAGGUUGCC